GGCGAACGCACCGCAAACUCUAGAGAAAACGAGAGAGAGAGAAAGAGAAAGAAAGAGAGAAGGAUAAAAUGGAUUUUCAGCAGAUGAUGAGAUGAACGCGGACGAUGAGUGUGCUGUUUCUAUCUAGAACCUUCAUUUCUCUCAUUUAGGUCGUUUACCACUUAAAAUCCACAGUUAUCGAGGUAGUGAGAAGGAGAAGAUACCAAUGGAUGAAAUCUUGGUUGGACCACUUGGUCCAGUCGCAACUUUACGCACGAAGUAAAUCUCGAAUCUCCAGGUUGCGUUAUGGCCGCGUCGGGACCGACGCUUUUAGCGGCUCAGGUGGCACCGUCGCCGGAUAAUAUAACGUUAUUUUAGUGGAAGCAUUCUGCCAGCUAGGUGGCAGAGAUUGUAACAUCCGAUUCUCUGGCUCGUCGCGGAAACUCGGAUAAACAACAACCCUCUUACAGCCACCGAGCUGCCGCUUAUAGACGCAUCGAAAUCUCAUGAAUUUUUUACCGUGAUUAUGGUAAAUCAUAUCGAGUGUGUUGCUUGAAGUUGGACGAUCAUCGCGUGGCAGAACUUAUCACGAAUAUUUUCGAACAGGGUCAAGAACGAAGGAUAGACAAAUAUUUUCUGGCAACAUUUCGCGAGUCAAGCUGCCAGUACUUGGUAAGCUCACUGUUGAAAUCGCUGGAAAGGAAAUUUUCGGCUGUGUAUCCCGCAGGCGAACGGGAUGUCUCGGUUCCCACAAGUUCGCAUAUCCUCAUGACGAUGAUCUUAUUUGAAUCUAGAGAAUCCUUUACUCCUCUUUGCCGUUGUCUUUCACUUUAAAUACGGAGAACAGAGCUUCCGCUUCGUCUGUGAGUCCUUGUAUGGGUGAAGACGUGCGUCAGAGAUAGAAGAUCGAGCGUAAGGGUAGUCUUUGAUAUGCUGACGUCGAUAUUAUCAAUUCAGAUGAGGAAGGGAGGUACAGUCGUUUGGUAAAACUGCGUUUGAUCUGGUUCACUCUGCCACGUGUACACGGAUACACAGUAUACUUAGAGAUAUGCACGUUGUGUCAGAGACAGCCGUGGGCAUUUUGCAUCAACUUAGAGGAUUCGACAGUGAAUUAUCGUCGUGUCUUUUCUAUUUAAUUCACUGGUCCAUAAUUGCAAUUUUAAUAACGUUCCAGGCAAGAUCUGGCUACGUGUUGUUGAGACAUCUUAUAGACUCUUAAUAAACGUGUAAAAUUCAACAGAAUCCCAA